ensembl:lncRNA
UGAAAAAAUGUUUUCAGUCAAAUGCGAUACCUCUAAAUUUCUGAACAAGAGAAAAGAACUUAAUAAACAGUCAUUUUUUUAUGCAGUGUUCCCUUAAAGCCGAUGUUCAUCACAUGGGCAUGUGAAGUUUCUGCUUUUCCACCUGUUACUGGACGGAACUAUGCAAAGAUCUGCUUCGCCAAUGGACUACAUCAGAAUGGCUCAUAAUAACCCACUUCACAAAGAAACGUCUGAUACGAGGGAAAGCCUUGGGAAUGAAAGUCGGGCAAAACUGACGGAUGCAUCAAAGGCAAUAGUUUUUUUUUGUCAUGCGACAUGCGUAUUCCUCUAACAUCAGAGGUAGUCGGAACAAAAAGGGAUCCUUUAUAAUUCCACAUCCCAUCUACGCACGAGUUCCCCUGCUUCGGCAAGUUGCUGUUUACAUAUUCAAACGCUGCGGUGCUAUAAAAAAAUAAAUAAAAAUUCGGAACUCUAAAAGCAGAGAGCAGCUGGGCUGGAAAAGAGUCGCCCCCUUUUAGCUGAAUUCACGGCUUUGGCGAGAAUAACAGGCUUCGCAGCAGUCAGAUUCAAUUCUGCAAAACAGAGCGACUUUGGGAGAAGCAAUGAAAAGGAAGAGCCGAGGGGGCUGUUUGGGGGGGUGAUGUACGACUCGAGAAAGAAAGUUUGUGGAGCGCGGAAAGCCAUGGAGAAGGCAGUGGAAAUCCCCAGCAGCAGUAAAAUAUCACCGCAUGAUAGAACAGAUGAUGAGCUCUCACUGGCAGUAUUUGAAUGGACCUGCCUUCAUUCAGCUCCCUUCCACAGUGUUUACAGCUUGUGUCUGGUGUUCCAGUGACAAGAUGAGUAACGCAGCACAUGUUUAUGGGAUUAAUUAACCAACAAACUGCAUUAAAUAGGUGUGUGAAAUUUGUGUGAUGAUGCAUUUCUACCUUUAGAAUUAGUUUUAAUUUAGUUUUAAUUUUGUGUGACAGUUAGUACUUCAUGUAACUUUGGACUUACAAACAAACCAAAUUAUGAACAAACUUCUGUUCUCGGUUCAGUUCCUAAGUUGAGGAACCAGUGUGGGUUGACUGCUUGGUCGUUGCUGUUUGUACUGGGCUGUACUGCACACUUUUACCUCUGAUUCCGGUCUCCUUCAAAGGAGGGAUGUAAUUGCAUCACCUGGACCCCCAAAAGACCAAUGUACAGGGGAAAGUGGUGGAGAGGUGCUCUGGAGAAGCUGUCAGGAUGAGUCGCUGCACUGAGGAGAUUUGCUUGAAGGUCUGGGCCGUGUCCCACCCAGGUACCCCCGAGUACUGUUUCCUCUGUUGACCAUGAGAGGACUGGCAAAGACCACCUCCUUGGCAGCUGUGACAGGCUGUCAGAUGAAACAUCCUCUCCUAAAAUGUGAGGGCAGGUGUGAUCGGAGCCUGAAAUACGUAUCCCCAGCUUUCAUGAUGUUCCUGGAAAAAGUGCAGCGAUGAAAAACAAGUGGGUCGCAAACCUGUACUUUGGAGCAACGUCCCUCAGACGUCGAUUUAUAAAAAGUAAUAAAAAAACAGAGACUAAGUUCA